GGUGCCUUAGCCAAGUGGUAAGGUUUGGAGCUGCAACCUCCACAGCGUUGGUUCGAAUCCGACAGGCACCUCCA
rnacentral:tRNA from 1 species